rnacentral:rRNA from 1 species
AUGGAGGCCGCCGCGGCCAUCCGGAGCACGGCCGCGCCGCGGAUGCGCCUCGCGGGGAGGAGCAGCAGGGGAUCCGGCGCCGCGGCGGCGCGCGCGACCCCGGCCAGCCACAGCGACUGGCAGACGGCCUGCGCCAUCCUCUCCAGCACCAACGACACCCCCUCCCCGCCGGCGCCGAAGGUGAACGGCCAGAACAACAACAACAAGCUGGCCGCGCCGGCCAUCCCCGGCUCCGAGGACGCCGUCUCCGGCCUGGAUCUGGUGCCGGCCGCGGGCGCGGGGAACCUGCCGCGCCCGCUCAGCAUCAGCGACCUGUCCCCGGCGCCGCUGCACGGCGCGCAGCUCCGGGUGGCGUACCAGGGCGUGCCGGGCGCCUACAGCGAGGCGGCGGCCGGGAAGGCGUACCCGGGGUGCGAGGCCAUCCCGUGCGACCAGUUCGAGGUGGCGUUCCAGGCGGUGGAGCUGUGGAUCGCCGACCGCGCGGUGCUCCCCGUGGAGAACUCCCUGGGCGGCAGCAUCCACCGCAACUACGACCUGCUCCUCCGGCACCGGCUCCACAUCGUGGGCGAGGUGCAGCUCCCCGUCCACCACUGCCUGCUGGCGCUCCCGGGCGUCCGGCGGGAGCUGCUGGCGCGGGUGAUCUCGCACCCGCAGGCGCUGGCGCAGUGCGAGCACACGCUGACCCGCAUGGGCCUCAACGUGGCCCGCGAGGCCUUCGACGACACGGCGGGCGCGGCGGAGCACAUCGCGGCGCACGCGCUCCGCGACACGGCGGCCAUCGCGUCGGCGCGCGCGGCGGAGCUGUACGGCCUCCAGGUGCUGGCGGACGGCGUGCAGGACGACGCCGGGAACGUGACCCGGUUCGUGAUGCUGGCGCGGGAGCCCAUCAUCCCGCGGACGGACCGGCCGUUCAAGACGAGCAUCGUGCUGGCCCACGACCGGGAGGGCACCUCGGUGCUGUUCAAGGUGCUGUCGGCGUUCGCGUUCCGGGACAUCAGCCUGACCAAGAUCGAGAGCCGGCCGCACCGGCACCGGCCCAUCCGGCUGGUGGACGACGCCAACGUCGGCACCGCCAAGCACUUCGAGUACAUGUUCUACAUCGACUUCCAGGCGUCCAUGGCCGACGUGCGCGCCCAGAACGCGCUCGCCGAGAUCCAGGAGUUCACGUCCUUCCUCAGGGUGCUCGGCAGCUACCCCAUGGACAUGACGCCAUGGGACGCCGCGCCGUCGCCGUCCUCCUCCUCCUCCGAUCAACAGCAGCGCGGCUAG